ensembl:processed_transcript
GAGGCCCUGGGAUCCGAACUGCCACCUCCUCCGCCGCCGGCGCCGCCAUCCUAGAAGCCUCCAGGCAAGGCCUCCAGGCCGAGCCACUCCGGGGCUGCUCACCCGCGCCCCGGGCGUUCCGAAUCCGGGAACGUGCGCUCCCCAGGUCUCCCUUCUCCAGAGAGCAAAGCCGCCGCGAGCGGCCCGAGUCUGUCCCCUCCCGCCUGCCUCCACGUCUCCGGCUCGCCCGCCCGCCCGAGUCCCGACGCUCCGGGGAAAAGGCUUCCAAGGGUCCCCGGUCCACCCCUCUCCGGUACCGCUCCCACCCGGAGCCGCGUCCCGAGCUUGACACUCCCAGCCUCCGCCAUCCGCCACCGCAGCCCCAGCCCGCCUCACCUCAGGCGGCUCCGGCAGCGCUGGACACAGGAAGCUCCUGGGUCCUCGACUCCGGCUCUCCUCGACCCCCCUGUUCGGUUAACUCCGCUUGUUUUCUCGACAAAAUGGCGCCCGAGGUCGCGCGCUCACGUCGCGGCCUUUCCCCCUCCCAGUUCCCAUUUCACCAUUCGCUGUCCGCUUUGGUAGAGGGAUGGCCCUAGCGGCCAGCCAAUGGCCGCGCGCGGUCCGCAACUGCCGUCCAAUCGCCGACGGGUACCCGCGGAUUUAAACCAAUCACACACUAAUCGCUCGCCGAAGUCGAGGAAGAAACCAGGCUCCUGCUAGCAACGACCAAUCCAGGCUUCUAUCUUGCGGGGCUCAGGCCAAUUGACGCUCAUCGGCCCUUCAGGGACUGGGUCCGAGCCCGGGCGCCUGCGCACCCGGGUGCGAGCCAAUGGGGAGACGUUGGGAACUUCGAUUUGGGACUCGAAGACAUCUGCCUUCGAGGUGUUCGAUCUAUGGGGACUGACUGGUCAUUGCCUCUGGAAAAAAAAAAGUACGGAAGGGAGCCUGUUAAUGCAUUGCCACCCUGCGCACAAACUACUCUAACUUAGAGACGGGGUGAUGCUCGUCUACUUUCCUUCGUCUUUCGAAAUGUCACGGCCCGAGAGGCUGUGCGGGUUUCCAGCGGAAGCAUUGUCCACCCCUCGGAUCUCUUUAGCAAAGAGCACCAGCCAUCAGAAAGCGUCAGACGCCGGGCAAAGUUGAGGUCCUUUGCAUCCUGGGUUAUGUAGUCGCACGCCCCGCCUAUUCCUGUCGCAAACGUAACGUGAUCUCUUCCAUCACUGUCUGCGCCCUAGAGCAGCAAUGCAUGCUGGAGAAUGUAGUCUCCCAGAUGCCCACCUAGUCCUAGCUCUUUAAAAGUUUGUUUUCCACUUGUCUUUUGAAGCAGGGACGCUUUGCAGAGAUAUAGAAACGGAAGUUCUCCUCCUGCUCUUGGCCAUGCCAAUGCCCUUUGCUUCUUGGAUAAAAGUCUAUGUUAUCCACUGUGCCCUAUCUUGUAGGCUUUUUGUUUGUUUUGAGUUUUGAGACGAGGUCUCAUUCAGUUAACCCAACUGUAGUCCAGGCUGGCCUGAAACACACUAUGAAACAUAAAUUGACCUUGAGCUCCUUGCAAUCCUCUAAACUACUGAGAUGAUAAUAGACAUAACCUCUCACACCAGUACUAUUUGAACUUAAAAGAGAUGUGUUAAAGACUUUUAUUACUUAUUUUACAUGUACGGGCGUUUGCUUGCAUGUAAAUCUAUGCAUCACGCAUGUACAGUGUCCUCAGAAGUCAGAAGAGGAUGCCUGUCCCUAUGGAAAUGGAGUUACAGAUGGUUGUGAGCCACCAGGUGGGUUCUCUGGAAAAGUAGCUCUGUGCCAUCUUUCCAGCCCCUAGAUGUAAAAAAUAAAGAAAAAGAAAAAAGUGUCUGAGUGCUUGCAUAUAUAUAUAUGGAUCUCCCAACUGAAAUGAGAGUCUUGGUGGUAAAGUUGUAAGUUGCCCUAUGAGUGCUGGAAACCCACCCCUGCUCCUCUGCAGAAACAGCUCCUCUCCAGCCCCCACCUUGAACUUUUUUAUCGAUGUUUUUAAUUUGUGCAAUUUAGCAAUCUGGGGGUUGUUUCGUUUUGUGGGUUUUGUUUUCUUUAGUUGUUUGAUGAAGAAGAAGAGAGGCAAGGCUGAAUUGGGACUGUUCUGGAGAAGGGGGAGCGGGGCAUACAAGGCAACUCCCCAAGAUCAAGUCUGUAAUUCCGCAACCAGUUUAGUUCAAGUUUCAACUGCCCCCAAACUGAAGGUAAGCUGAAAGGAAGCUGAUAUAAACGGGGCCUCCUAGAGGAGAUGCUUAAGCUCACUGCCCAUCUCUCCUUGGAGGCUAUACAUCACUACUAAAAUCUGACAGCCAUGAAAACUGAGCCAAGGUUUUCACAGAACCCUGGAGGUCAAAGUCCUUUGCCUGUGUAUCUAGGCUGGGUGAUUCUUGUCUUUUCUAGAAACGCUGAGAAGCCCUUCAUACAGGAUCUGCGAGGGUCACCUUCUAACUCAGCAGUUACGAAUGUUUGCUUUCAAACAUCCUUAAGAACAGGAUGUCCCAACGAGCAGACGAGCUCACCUGGCUGAUUCUCAGCCUUCUUCCCACCCUCCCUGUCCAACUUUCACAAAAUAUCCUGGUUUGAAAGUAAAAUACAACAGAAAAACUAGGUGUUAAAAGUAAAAAAAUUUAAAAUUUUUUAAAGGUUUAUUUAUUUAUUUUAUGUAUAUAUGACAGUGUAGCUGUCUUUGGACACACCAGAAUAGUUGCAUCCAAUCCCAUUACAGAUGGUUGUGAGCUAACAUGUUGCUGAGAAUUGAACUCAGGACCCCUAGAAGAGCAGACAGUGCUCUUAACUGCUGACAGUUGAUGGCUGCUGGCAUAUAGAGAGAGUUUUAUAGGUUCACUGUACUCCAGUGGAUGCCCCCUCGUCUGUGAGUAUGCAGGCAGAUCAAACUGGUCUCAAGCAAGCAAGCAGGCAGAGUGGCUCAAGCCCUCAAGCCCUGAGCUCAGUGCUCACAUUUAGGCAGAAGUAAUCAGAUCUCUGUGAGUUCAACCAGCCUGGUUCUGGGACAGCCAGAGCCACACAGUGAGACCCUAUCUCAAAAGUGGUAGUGGGGAGAGACAGACAGACAGAGGGGAAAACAGUGACACACACAGGACAACAUAAGUCUGGGCAGGGGCCUAAGAGGUGGGAGAAAUAUGAUAAAAAAAUACAUUAAAUACAUGUAUAAUAUUCUCUAGGAAGUAAUUGC